UGUUAAAAAUUUAAUUUAUUCGUGCUGUUAAAAUUAACAUGAUUGACAGAAUAAUUAAAUAGUGUCAUGUGUACCUCAUGUCGAUGUACAUAGAUCAAUUUUUAAUGGUAGAAAUGAAUAAAAUUUUUAACA
rnacentral:pre_miRNA from 1 species